UUUCAAAAGGUAGCCUAUCAAAAC
rnacentral:piRNA from 1 species